AUUGAACGCUGGCGGCAGGCCUAGCACAUGCGAGUCGAGCGGAUGAGGGUAGCUUGCUAUCUGAUUCAGCGGCGGACGGGUGAGUAAUGCCUAGGAAUCUGCCUGGUAGUGGGGGACAACGUUUCGAAAGGAACGCUAAUACCGCAUACGUCCUACGGGAGAAAGUGGGGGAUCUUCGGACCUCACGCUAACAGAUGAGCCUAGGUACGGUUAGCUAGUUGGUGAGGUAAAGGCUCACCAAGGCGACGAUCGUUAACUGGUCUGAGAGGAUGAUCAGUCACACUGGAACUGAGACACGGUCCAGACUCCUACGGGAGCAGCAGUGGGGAAUAUUGGACAAUGGGCGAAAGCCUGAUCCAGCCAUGCCGCGUGUGUGAAGAAGGUCUUCGGAUUGUAAAGCACUUUAAGUUGGGAGGAAGGGCAGUAAGUUAAUACCUUGCUGUUUUGACGUUACCGACAGAAUAAGCACCGGCUAACUUCGUGCCAGCCGCCGCCGUAACAC
rnacentral:rRNA from 1 species